rnacentral:rRNA from 1 species
UACGUAGGUGGCGAGCGUUGUCCGGAAUUAUUGGGCGUAAAGGGCGCGUAGGCGGUUGUUUAAGUCAGAUGUGAAAGCCCCCGGCUCAACUGGGGAGAGCCAUCUGAUACUGGGCGACUAGAGUGCAGGAGAGGAAAGUGGAAUUCCAUGUGUAGCGGUGAAAUGCGUAGAUAUAUGGAGGAACACCAGUGGCGAAGGCGGCUUUCUGGACUGCAACUGACGCUGAGGCGCGAAAGCUGGGGGAGCAAACGGGAUUAGAUACCCCGGUAGUCCCAGCCGUAAACGAUGGAUGCUAGGUGUGGGGGGUAUCGACCCCUUCCGUGCCGCAGUUAACACAAUAAGCAUCCCGCCUGGGGAGUACGGCCGCAAGGUUG